rnacentral:rRNA from 1 species
AUUGAACGCUGGCGGCAGGCCUAACACAUGCGAGUCGAACGGUAACAGGAAGCAGCUUGCUGCUUCGCUGACGAGUGGCGGACGGGUGAGUAAUGUCUGGGAAACUGCCUGAUGGAGGGGGAUAACUACUGGAAACGGUAGCUAAUACCGCAUAACGUCGCAAGACCAAAGAGGGGGACCUUAGGGCCUCUUGCCAUCGGAUGUGCCCAGAUGGGAUUAGCUAGUAGGUGGGGUAACGGCUCACCUAGGCGACGAUCCCUAGCUGGUCUGAGAGGAUGACCAGCCACACUGGAACUGAGACACGGUCCAGACUCCUACGGGAGGCAGCAGUGGGGAAUAUUGCACAAUGGGCGCAAGCCUGAUGCAGCCAUGCCGCGUGUAUGAAGAAGGCCUUCGGGUUGUAAAGUACUUUCAGCGGGGAGGAAGGGAGUAAAGUUAAUACCUUUGCUCAUUGACGUUACCCGCAGAAGAAGCACCGGCUAACUCCGUG